UGGUCAAGCGAUUAAGCGCAUACGGUGGAUGCCUUGGCAGCCAGAGGCGAUGAAGGACGUUGUAGCCUGCGAUAAGGUUCGGUGAGGUGGCAAACAACCUGUGACCCGGACAUUUCCGAAUGGGGAAACCCACCCAGCACAAGCUGGGUAUCCCACACUGAAUCCAUAGGUGUUGGGAGGCGAACCGGGGGAACUGAAACAUCUAAGUACCCCGAGGAAAAGAAAUCAACCGAGAUUCCCCAAGUAGCGGCGAGCGAACGGGGACCAGCCCUUAAGCUGGUGACUGGUUAGGCGAACGAGCUGGGAAGCUCGACCAUAGGGGGUGAUAGUCCCGUAGCCGAAAACCUGAUCCAGUGAAAUCGAGUAGGUCGGGGCACGUGAAACCUUGACUGAAGACGGGGGGACCAUCCUCCAAGGCUAAAUACU
rnacentral:rRNA from 1 species